rnacentral:tRNA from 1 species
UUUUAAAAAAUUUAAAGAAAAUAUUGAUUUGUGGGGUCAAAAAUAUGAUAGAGAAUCCUUUUAAAUU